rnacentral:rRNA from 1 species
CGCUAUCACUCCUACGGGGAGGCAGCAGUAGGGAAUACUUCCACAAUGGGCGCAAGCCUGAUGGAGCAACACCGCGUGAGUGAAGAAGGAUUUCGGCUCGUAAAGCUCUGUUGUUUAAAGAAGAACACGUAUGAGAGUAACUGUUCAUACGUUGACGGUAUUUAACCAGAAAGUCACGGCUAACUACGUGCCAGCAGCCGCGGUAAUACGUAGGUGGCAAGCGUUAUCCGGAUUUAUUGGGCGUAAAGAGAGUGCAGGCGGUUUUCUAAGUCUGAUGUGAAAGCCUUCGGCUUAACCGGAGAAGUGCAUCGGAAACUGGAUAACUUGAGUGCAGAAGAGGGUAGUGGAACUCCAUGUGUAGCGGUGGAAUGCGUAGAUAUAUGGAAGAACACCAGUGGCGAAGGCGGCUACCUGGUCUGCAACUGACGCUGAGACUCGAAAGCAUGGGUAGCGAACAGGAUUAGAUACCCUGGUAG